AUUGAACGCUGGCGGCAGGCCUAACACAUGCAAGUCGAGCGGUAGAGAGAAGCUUGCUUCUCUUGAGAGCGGCGGACGGGUGAGUAAUGCCUAGGAAUCUGCCUGGUAGUGGGGGAUAACGUUCGGAAACGGACGCUAAUACCGCAUACGUCCUACGGGAGAAAGCAGGGGACCUUCGGUCCUUGCGCUAUCAGAUGAGCCUAGGUCGGAUUAGCUAGUUGGUGGGGUAAUGGCUCACCAAGGCGACGAUCCGUAACUGGUCUGAGAGGAUGAUCAGUCACACGGGAACUGAGACACGGUCCAGACUCCUACGGGAGGCAGCAGUGGGGAAUAUUGGACAAUGGGCGAAAGCCUGAUACAGCCAUGCCGCGUGUGUGAAGAAGGUCUUCGGAUUGUAAAGCACUUUAAGUUGGGAGGAAGGGCAGUUGCCUAAUACGUAACUGUAUUGACGUUACCGACAGAAUAAGCACCGGCUAACUCUGUG
rnacentral:rRNA from 1 species